AGAAUCAACGCUGGCGGCGUGCCUAACACAUGCAAGUCGAACGAGAAAGUGGAGCAAUCCAUUAGUAAAGUGGCGCACGGGUGAGUAACACGUGACUAACCUACCCUUGAGUGGGGGAUAACCUAGAGAAAUCUGGGCUAAUACCGCAUAAUACCUUCGGGUCAAAAGGAGCAAUUCGCUUAAGGAGGGGGUCGCGGCCGAUUAGUUAGUUGGCGGGGUAAUGGCCCACCAAGACUAUGAUCGGUA
rnacentral:rRNA from 1 species